rnacentral:lncRNA from 1 species
CAAGUACACACAUUUUCUUUAGGAAAUGUAAUUUUACAUGUAUUAUUAUUUUCUCUUAGAUUCGGCACAGUGGGAGUUUUUGUUAAACUGAUAUUCAACGUCAAAACACCAGUCCCCACUGAGGAUCAUGUCCUUGAUGCCGUCAAGAAGCAAUUGUCUCCUCAAUUCACGACCACUCAAACCACCUUCCAGAAUGCAACUUAUAUCAAACUUACAGAUACUUCAUUUGCCAUCGACCUUGGUUUCAAAAUAACCAAUGUAACCCAGGAGUCUCUAAGUAAUAGACUCACACUCACCAAUGAGACUGAAACCCAGAUACAGGAUUCAAUUAACAGACUAGUAAGAUACUGUACUUCUACACAUAAGAUACAUCCAUGGUCAUGUUCAGGUCAUGAUAGUAAUUGACAACUUGAUGUUUUGUCCCCUUUUAGCUCCAAAAGGUUCUCAGUGAACCAGAUGGCAAACAGUUUCAAUUUCCCAACGCCAACCUCAUGUAAGUACAACGUCAUAACCUUGAACCAACCCGUCUUUCUCAACUGCACUCUUUAGAAUUUCUGCAGAUUUCAUUUAGUUGCUGCUGGUACAGCUAAACAGGAUGAAAGGAACAUGUUUAACUCUCACACAAAACCCAUUUUUACGUCCACAGUGAUGAUGGCACUGAGAUCACGGCAAACGUGACGUAUGUAUACAAAGAGGAAGAUGUCAACCUCCCUAGUGGUUUUCUACAGGAAGUCUUAAAAGUCUCAGGUAUGCUGCUUUUGUUACCAUACGGUUGUCAUUUCUAUGUUUAUUUAUGACAGUGAGUUAUUAAACACCAUGUAACGUGUAUAAUACUCAAUCUCGAAAACACUUAUAUAUCAAUGUUAUAUGACAUAUUACAAGUUUAUAAUCCCUCUAAAAUGUAUUUCCAUUUCUAUUCUAGGUCUCCUGACCACCACUGUUGCCCCAACAACAACCACCAACACCACACCACUUCCUACCCUUUUGACUUCAGUGACAUCAACAACUAGGUAAGCAAGAUCAUUUAUUAUAAUGUUUUCAUACAAUUCAAUUAACACUUUGUCAAACAAGGAACCUUUGCAACAAUGAACCAUGUAUAUCCAUGCUUGUGUCGUUAACUACUGAUGUUUUAAUUAAAAGCAUCCAAAAUGUCAACCUUUCUUUAGAAAAGCUCUUUGAGUGCAUCAAUUGGUCAAAAGGCUUAAUAUAAAUCCAAUCCAUUAUAAUUAAUGUGCUUGCUGAAGGCAAGACCACUAGAUUUCUUACAUACUUUUUCUAAUUAUUUUAACAUUUUCUAAACGUUCUAAACUAAAACAAUUUAAAUGAGUAUAAAUUAGCAUAUAAUAACCCACCAAAAAUAAUAUUAACUCUUGAACCGUUCAAGCUAGAGAGACCGAACCAACUUUCAUACGUUCAGGCUAUUCUUUCCUAUCCUAUCCAUCAAUCAAUCUUUCCAUCGACUUUCUUUUUCCAA